UUUUGUUCCUUUCACAUGGUCUCUCUCCAUUCAGUUCAACCUUUCCAAAAUUAUGCAAUCGUUUCCUUUCUCAAAUUUAUUUCUAAUAGAAAACCCUAAAUGUUUUGCGUCAAGUACAAUCAACAAAAUAACUCAUUAGAUUUCUCUCUGCCCGUUUCAUUAUCUCAAAUUCUUCUUCAAUCGGUAAUUGUUUCAGAAGAAUCCAUCAUAUAUUCUACCUCUUUGUGUACUUUAAUUCGUUAAUCGCAUGUUUUGUAUAUGGUUGGUAACUUGGUAGAAGGGGAGAGAUGCAAUUGGGUAUUUCAACUUCUUCUUCAAUCGGUAAUUAGGUAUUUCAUCAUCACCCCUACAACAAUACCCAGAUUGGCGGUGGAGAAAGACAAUGAUUUUUCUAGGUUUUAGUUUGAUUCCAUGAAGGGAGCACAACUGGAAGAAUCAUCUCAAUGAAGUUGAAGAAAAAACUCGGGUGACGCUACACGACUGCUUCGCCUCCCGUGUAUGUACCGAUAUGGCCUCAAAUUUUAUAGCUCAGAUGAAGGUCGUGUGCAGGUUUUAUGUGAAUGGCCAAGAGAAGGCUCUUCUUUCGGUCCCUGAUCAGUCUAGGUUUUAUAGUGGAGAAUGUUAUAUAUGCUGGUAUAGUUAUCAUGGAGAAGAUCAAGAAGAAUGCUCUAUUGGGACAUGGUUUGGAAAGAAAAAGUGUCGAGGAGCUUUUAACUGCUUUAUGAAUCCAAAACAAGUUGCAUUUGUCGUCUGUCAAAAGGUAUUUUUGUUUAAUCAUUUAUAGCUUCUUGCUGUUAGAUUCAUUUUUGUAAUUGUGUGUAUAUAUAUAUGCAUGGAGAAUGUUAGAACUCCGUUACCUGAUUCAUGUCCAAUAGCGUUUCACAAGCUCAUCCGAUGAUGUUGAUCAAUCAAACUAGAAAAACGAACUCGGUUUGAUGAAAUUGUGAGGAUUCUAGAGAGAUACGCAACAUAUGUGGAAGAAAAUCCUGAUUUCUUGACAACAUUUGAAUGUGGUAAUGGCAGUUCUUUAAAUUGUGACCGUGGAUGUUUUGGUCCCCGUAAAACGGCUUCAGGAAUUAGUCAUGGAUUAUGCUGACUGUGAGCGUGAUCUGUUUAUUCCUUCAUGACGAGAACCGAAGAUUUCUUCAUCUUCAAUCGCUAUUGGAAGCAAUCAGUGAAAUUGAUUGAGAGCAAAAACUAGGGUUAUAGAAUGAGGGGGAAAAUUUAUCGAAUGGAGAAAGUGAUAUCAGGUAGAUUGGUAAAGAGCAAGUGCUAUCUUUCCACUCUUGGUGGCAGUUUUGCCUUUCUAAACUUCAUCUUCAAUCGCAAUUGGAAACAACCUGUUAGUUAGAGACAAAGCAGCCCAAGUUUUGAUUGUUAGAGGUGGGCGGGGGACAACAUUUGGGGGGAUUUUGGUUGGAGGCGAAUACCGACUUCUGAAAAGAGAAACAAGAGACAGCACAAAUGUGUAAUCUACUCAAACAGCAGGAGAUAAAACCAACACAGGAUAUGUGAAAUUGUUAAGUGAAUAUUGCACCAGGGUCAUUGCCUAACAGUCUUGACCCAAGAGAAAAUUUGGGUCUAGAUGUCUUCCAACAUCUUAUCAAUAGAAAAGCAAUGAUUCUUAAAUAUAAGGUUGUUUCGGGCUCGCCAAAUGAACGAACAAGUCGUGUACAACAAUGAGAUCCCAACCUUGAUCCUAUCCUUUGACCCAUCAAAAUCCAGCAGCCAUAUCAAACGAAUUUUGCACCGAGUCUGCCAUGUUCAACACCGUGAACCUAAGCAAAUGUGUCAGAGAUUUGGAGCUUGAGAACACUCUUUUAGAUGGGAGCCCUGAACCACGGCUGAAAAUCUUUUCAUUUUUUUUGUUUAUAUCUGUAAAAGAGAUUACAUGUUUCGUUUAAGUUUUCAUACUAACUGCAAAUUGACAAUUUGCGGAGGUAUUAAUGAUAUCUCAGGCAGAGCUUCGUAUUUACCGAAUUUAUUAAAGCAGGUUACUUCUUUCUUCCUACAGCUGUAG